rnacentral:lncRNA from 1 species
GACAUUUGGAGGUUAAAUGAGACGCAACCGCCACCCACUCGCAAUUUAUUUGUGUCACACACUGAUAUCAUUGCAGCAUGAAUAUGGAACAUGGGUUGAAUUAUUUUGGGUUGAAAAGAAAUUGCAAUUGGACCCAAAGGUAGGGGUUUAUUUUUGAAAAGAAAUUGCAAUUGCACCGAGUGGAGAUUAAAAUAAAAAUGCACAAAAGCUCACGGCCCAAAAGGGAAAGCAAGCUGCUUCCUGCAAUGAAGCACGAACUUUAUUAACAUUCCACGGCCCAAAGUCCUGCAGCACAUAAAAUAAAACGCACGCCCACAUGCAUCAUGGUCCAGCAUUUGAAGAAGCUUGCAGCAUGUAGAAGCUCACUGGUCCAGCAACUAGGAAGCAAGUGAUUCAUCGUUGAUUUUGGAGAGCCCAUCAGCAGAAUCAAACAUCACGAUCCAGCACUUACGUUGAGCAGAUCCAGCAGGCAGCUCGGGAACGUCCAACAACCUUAGAGCUGCAGCAACUUCAAACUUCCAUCUUCACCACAGCCCAUGCUCCACGCAGCACCUACAGCACGUUAAAAGAAAAUAAUGGCCCAGCAGCUUUGGAGAAUUCAGCAAGCACCACGGCCCAGCGUUGCAAACGUCCAACUUUGAACCGCUUCACACAUCCAACCUUCAUAUGUUCAGCAGCAACAACCCACAUUCUCCAUGCUGGCAGCAAAGGAGGUGCGUGCAGCAGCUGGAGAAAGCCCUCACGGUGAUUAGAAACGGGAUGCAUCAUAAGGUUGUUACGGUGCUUCAUGAUAGCAAGAGGCGCUCAUUCAUUAUGUUGGAGAAUUGCUAUCAUGGUUGAUUCAUGGUUGAGAAGAGGUGCACGGUGAGAUCAGCAAAAGGCCCAUGAAAUAAAAGGGUAGCACGUGAAUGAGAAACAUGGGAAUUAGUAUGAUUUUUCUUCAUCCAUGUUGCAGCAGCCCGUGAGCACAUUAUCCAGCAAAAUAGCACACGCAAUUGGGUUGGAGAAAAUGGGACGUUCCAGCAAUGUCACCAACAUACACGGUCCAGCAUUGAGGGCUGCUGCCACUUGCACAUGAAGACCCAUUUCCAUUUUAAAAGAAUUCAUCCAGGUGCUGCCACGUGGAGGUUUUUAGACGGUUCAGCUGCAUCCAACAAGGGAGACACGAAACCCUAGGGAAUUUUUCAUUUUUACAAAAUUGUAGCCGCUACAUGCAAAGGGGAGACACUUUUCUUUUUGGUAGUAGAGGGAAAUGGUGGGCUAUGGUUAGCACACGGUGCACACAUACUAAUUUUUCAUUUAAGAAAGCAGCUCAAAAGCA